GAGGAUACAAAACUACACAAGAUAUUAAAUCCAAAGCUGACUGUGAAGAGUUACAAAGCGAUCUCACUAAACAUGGUGACUGGACAAGAAAAUGGCAGACAAAAUUCAACGUUGAUAAGUGCAAAGUAAUGCACACUGGAGAACAUAAUCCCAGCUAUAUAUAGAAAAUAUCAGGGUU